rnacentral:rRNA from 1 species
AACGAACGCUGGCGGCAGGCUUAACACAUGCAAGUCGAACGCAUGCCUUCGGGCAUGAGUGGCAGACGGGUGAGUAACGCGUGGGAACCUACCCCUUGGUACGGGAUAGCUCCGGGAAACUGGAGAUAAUACCGUAUGUGUCCUGAGGGACAAAGAUUCAUCGCCAAGGGAUGGGCCCGCGUCGGAUUAGCUAGUUGGUGGGGUAACGGCCUACCAAGGCGACGAUCCGUAGCUGGUCUAAGAGGAUGAUCAGCCACAUUGGGACUGAGACACGGCCCAAACCCCACCGGGGGGCGGCGGUGGGGAUAAUUGAACAUGGGCCGAAAGCCUGUCCCGGCCAGGCGGGUGGAUGGUUAAAGGCCCAGGGUUGUUAAGGCUCUUCACCCGGUGACAUAAUGACCGUAACCCGAGGAAGAACCCCGGGUUACUUCGUG